rnacentral:rRNA from 1 species
GACGAACGCUGGCGGCGUGCCUAAUACAUGCAAGUUGAGCGCUGAAGGUUGGUACUUGUACCCACUGGAUGAGCAGCGAACGGGUGAGUAACGCGUGGGGAAUCUGCCUUUGAGCGGGGGACAACAUUUGGAAACGAAUGCUAAUACCGCAUAAAAACUUUAAACACAAGUUUUAAGUUUGAAAGAUGCAAUUGCAUCACUCAAAGAUGAUCCCGCGUUGUAUUAGCUAGUUGGUGAGGUAAAGGCUCACCAAGGCGAUGAUACAUAGCCGACCUGAGAGGGUGAUCGGCCACAUUGGGACUGAGACACAGCCCAAACUCCUACGGGAGGCAGCAGUAGGGAAUCUUCGGCAAUGGACGAAAGUCUGACCGAGCAACGCCGCGUGAGUGAAGAAGGGUUUCGGAUCGUAAAACUCUGUUGGUAGAGAAGAACGUUGGUGAGAGUGGUAAGCUCAUCAAGUGACGGUAACUACCCAGAAAGGGACGGCUAACUACGUG